CAAUCCACUGAGCCGUACCAGCCAGGGUUGUAUUUUUCUUUGAAGGGUCUGUUUCUACUCCACCUCCUUUCCAUACUUGUUUUUAUUUAUACAUUAUCAAGUAUCAAAAAAGAUUUGAGGUAUGUUUUCAGAGCAAGUAGCAUAAAUUAAUGGUAAGAUAGCUUUGUGAGGGCCAAGGAGAGAGAAGAGUCAAGACCAAAUGGCAAGAGGACCAUGCAAGCAUGAAAUUGUCAUACCUCCUGAAGUGCUUACGCCUCUCAAAGGGGCCAAAUCAAAGUGCAGUCCGUGCUGUGUUCAUUCCCAAGCUGGGAUCUCUGGGCGAUGUCUCUUUCUCUUGUUACUCUGAUCCUGUCUAGAUAUUAUGUGACCAGUGGACUGAAUUGAAAAAUUAACUGUGAAAAAAAGCUACAUAAAACAGUACAGAAGAGAGGAAAGCAGUUGAAAAAUGUAUUAAUGUAUAUUUUAAGUUUUAUAUAAAUUGCUGAAAUACGUAAAUGUGUUAUUUAAAUCCUGUCGUAAGAAAUGUUUUUUGCUGCAAUCCUUAGCCUCCCAGCUUCCCUCCACAACCUCCCGUAUGCUGUUGUGGAACAGUAAUGAUUUCCCUGUUUAAUAACAUAGAUCAAUCAUGCUAAUCAUUCCCGUAACAGUUUUCUCCCAGUGAUGUACCUUGUGUAUUAAACACUUGGAGUGGAUAAUUUUUUAACACCCUUUAUGCUACAAAGUUAUUUUCAGUGAUCAUGAAAUAAUACAAAAAAGUACACAGAAUUUUCUUCAACUUCAGAUACGUGUAUAUAUACAUAUAUACACAUAUCUUUGUAUGUAUUUACAUACAGUCAAAAUCUUAUGGGAAAAAGUAAUAGACUAAGUUUUAAAUUGCAUUAAUAUACUUUUUGAGAAAAGUGGGAAACUUACAUACAAGGAAUGAUAUGCCAAUUUCUAUUUUUGAGCUAUCUUCAAAUAUUAAUGAUACUGUCAAAACUGAUCUUUCUAUAUUAAUGUUCCAAAAAGAUUAUACCCAGAUUUGUCAUCUACCCUCACUCAUAACUGAAUAAAGAACAGUUUUAAUUUUAAAAAGUACUUCAAAAAGCAGGAGAAAAAUUAUAGGUAAAUUCUUAAACAUAAGGAUAAGUGUGUCAGGGUUUCAUGAAAGUCCCUAUCACUGUAUAUUCCCAAAAUUGCAAGACUGUCAGUGUUUUGAUAAUCAGGACUGAUUCUAUCAAACUUUAAUGCAA